UCGUCUCAUGCGCGGAGGCGGAGUGGUGAAGCCCCACCCACUCAAAGGCGGGCCCAGGCCCAGGAUGAUUUCAGCAGGAGGGGGUGGGCCGGGAAGGCGAGGCAAACUGUGGUAGUUUGGGAAGGGGGCAGGCUGGAAUGGUGCAUUGUGGGAGUUGUAGUAUGGAUGAUGAAGGUGAGGAUGUUGGUGGUUGAAAUAGAAGCCUGCUUCCCUGUCCCUUCCGCCUCCCCUCUCACCCCCCGGUCCGGGCGACACCCCUCUCCUCUGGCUGGGUCUUCCUUGAUGACCACCGCCCCUGUGAUGCUGGUCAUUGCUGUGGUUAAAGUUGCCGGGGGUAGAGCUGUCGAAUGAGUUUCGGCGAUAACGGCGCUGUUGGUGGGCUCCCCCCUGGUUGCUUUGGUUACGCUGUUGCCAGACACGAUUUGGACUGGGGGUUCGAAUGCGUGGGGGCGGGGCCUGGAAAGGGUGGGGCAAUAGAGGCGGAGGAGGUGGAGACUUGGAACUCUUCUCUUCCUCCACUCCUUCUGUUCCCGCCCUCUCCCCCAGACCCAGAGCCUGCAGGGCAGCGUUGGCUGGUCCCCAAGACAACCGGUGGGCAGGGUUACUCUUGAAAGGGAACUUGAGCUUGCACUCCUGUGGAGGGAUGAAGCGUCCAGUCCCUGGGAGGUGCACGGGCACGGUGGGGGGUGUUUGACCUACAGACGGCAUAAUUAGUGAGUGGGACAGUGUGUAAAAACCAGUGUGGAUCUUGUUCUCACCUUGGUUCUGGUUCUGAUUGAGGCCUCGCAGUUUCUUGCUAAUGUUCUGCUGCUGCAGGUUUUGAAUUCUCUGCUGUUCUUGUUUCAGCCAGCGGAGGCGCCCUCUCCUGAAUGCUGGAUCUUCGUCCAUCAGACGUUGCACCCUGGUCUCUGGCAAGUCAGCAUCCUGGUCCCUGUGAGGAGCCUCUCCUCCUUCCUCGUUUUCCACAUCAUCAUCCUAGAAGGGAAGGCGGCCUUAAGUUGGGCUCAAGUUGAGUGAUGUGUCCAUAACAAGAUGGCAGUCAGCGGCUCACUUGGACAGGGCGAAGAAGAAGUCAUCACAACGGAACACGUCAACGUUGAGCAUGGCGCAUCCCGUUACCAUCCAGUGUUGUGAGCUUCGGAUGUUACACCAUGCAGUUCAGGGAACACCGUGCACCUUGCCCAAGUUGGCUGCUCACCAGUCACCCUAAACAUAACCGCUGUAGAAACAUGAUGUUUAAAUGGUUCCCAUCCAGCAGCCUUUCCCGUCUCCAACAGAACCUCAUGGUUCCAUGUGUGUUUACUGAGCUUUAUUGUGAAUAGGAAUAAAUGACAUCACUUUAAAAAGUAAUCUUGGUCCUGCUGUCAAACACACAAAGCAAAUAAGUCAUACAAAAAGGUAUUUGUGUUUUAAAAGAAGUCAAGGUCGUCUGGUGCGUCCAGGUCUCUGUAUUCGAUGAUGGAGCGUGGGUCUCCUCGCAUGCCCCUGCACACACACACACGCAUGCACACAGACACAACGUUACACAUACUACACACAUAUCAGGCAUCAACUUUGUUUUUCACCUGUUGUUGCGUUGUUUCCCGGGAAAUGCGCCACCUCCUAACUGACCCCUGAAGUUGUCAUACGCCCCACGUCCAGCUCCAAACUGGUUGGAUGGGUAAUGAGGACCACCUGUGCGCACACACACACACACACACUUUAUGCGAGUGUUGCUCUGGAAUGAGGUGUUUAAUGAAUGAA